AUUGAACGCUGGCGGCAUGCCUUACACAUGCAAGUCGAACGGUAACAGGUUAAGCUGACGAGUGGCGAACGGGUGAGUAACACAUCGGAACGUGCCCAAUCGUGGGGGAUAACGUAGCGAAAGCUACGCUAAUACCGCAUACGAUCUACGGAUGAAAGCGGGGGAUCGCAAGACCUCGCGCGAAUGGAGCGGCCGAUGGCAGAUUAGGUAGUUGGUGAGGUAAAGGCUCACCAAGCCUGCGAUCUGUAGCUGGUCUGAGAGGACGACCAGCCAAACGGGGACUGAGACACGGCCCAGACUCCGACGGGAGGCAGCAGUGGGGAAUUUUGGGCAAUGGGCGCAAGCCUGAUCCAGCAAUGCCGCGUGCAGGAUGAAGGCCUUCGGGUUGUAAACUGCUUUUGUACGGAACGAAACGGUCCUUUCUAAUACAGGGGGCUAAUGACGGUACCGUAAGAAUAAGCACCGGCUAACUACGUGCCAGCAGCCGCGGUAA
rnacentral:rRNA from 1 species